UACAGAGGUCUCAAGCGUUGUUCGGAUUCAUUGGGCGUAAAGGGUGCGUAGGCGGCGCGGUAAGUCGGGUGUGAAAUCUCGGAGCUUAACUCCGAAACUGCAUUCGAUACUGCCGUGCUUGAGGACUGGAGAGGAGACUGGAAUUUACGGUGUAGCGGUGAAAUGCGUAGAUAUCGUAAGGAAGACCAGUGGCGAAGGCGGGUCUCUGGACAGUUCCUGACGCUGAGGCACGAGGGGUCAGGGGGAGCAAAACGGGG
rnacentral:rRNA from 1 species